CAUUGCAUUCUGCCAGUACUAACAUAUGGAGUCGAAACUUGGAAGUUAACAAAGAAGCUUGCCAAAAAGUUAAGGACCACCCAACGAGCGAUAGAAAGAAAAAUGUUAGAAAGGAAAUCUAAAGAGACAAGAAGACAGCAGAGGUAGCCAGGGGUAGCCAAACGGAAGUAGCCGAUGUUCUAGUUGGCGUAAGAUGAAGAAAUGGAGCAAAUGUGGUCAGAUAAUGGCGUACGGCAGAUGAGCUGUGGUCUACUAGAGUUAUUGAAUGGAUGCCAAAAGAAGGGAAGCGCCGUCGAGGACUGCAGAAAACUAGGUGUUGGGAUGAAAUUAUGAAAUAUGCAGGAAUAAGGCAGACUGAGCUGGCACAUAAAAGGGUGAUUGGAGAUCGCUGGAAGAGACAUACGUCCUGAAGUGGACAUAAAUAAGCCCAUUAUGAUGACAACACCUUGAGAUACAUUGCAGCUAUUUUCAUCUGCAACUUUUCAUUUCUCUUUUCAGCCAAUACUGAAUUUGUAGACCUUAUUAAGGGGAAUUAUCAUAUUUUUUAUGUUUCCUCUACUUGCAUUAUCUUGCGUGGACCUGUCUCAGAAAAGUAUCAGGGUUUAUGCACCGCCUGGGUUUCCGCUGAUACAGCCUCCUUUGUGCACAAAAAAUGCAAGGAAGCAUUUAUGACUCAUUGUACAACAAAUGAGCAGUGCAAUAAAAAUGAGGGAAGAAGACGUCGCUAGUGAAUAUAUGUAUGCAACAACAAAUGACGAGAAGAGCACCGAGGCAACACAGCUGCAUAAACAUAACAGUCGGUUCCUUGACUGUCAUGUGAUAAUUUUCGAAUUCUUACUAACAUAUGUACAUCACUGUACAUAUGUUGGAGCUCCUGGUCUCCUUUAGCUCGACAUACUUCUUGAAUAAAUAUAUUCAACAAAAUAAACAUCGUCUAUCACCGCUUCA
rnacentral:lncRNA from 1 species